UACGUAGGGGGCUAGCGUUAUCCGGAUUUACUGGGUGUAAAGGGGGCGCAGACGGCGAUGCAAGCCAGGAGUGAAAGCCCGGGGCCCAACCCCGGGACUGCUCUUGGAACUGCGUGGCUGGAGUGCAGGAGGGGCAGGCGGAAUUCCUGGUGUAGCGGUGAAAUGCGUAGAUAUCAGGAGGAACACCGGUGGCGAAGGCGGCCUGCUGGACUGCAACUGACGUUGAGGCCCGAAAGCGUGGGGAGCAAACAGG
rnacentral:rRNA from 1 species